AAAUGAGGUUAAUUGUGUAUCACUGAAUUGUAUGAUUUUUUCAGGAUCAGCUGAGAUGUUAUUUCACUGGAUUAUUUAAUGGAUAGGCUUAUUGGGCAUAUAGUUGGAUAUCUCUGUCAUCAACAUGGAAGAUAUGUUUUGUUCCUUACCAUCUAUAAUCCAUUCUCUAUGAAGUUCAGACUGUCUGCUCUUCCUUUGGAAAUACACAGUUAGUCAACCAACAUAGAAACACACAAAACUUGAAGGAUUCUCUAGUGAGGGCUUAUGGAAAUGAUCUAUGUCUACUCUCAGAAUGGUGAAAGACUAUCAGUUUAUGCAAAGACAAACAGAAUAUCCUCUCUUGGAACACUGAAACAAGAAAAUCAAACAGGAGAUGGAUGGAGGAUUUAAGAAGCACAUAGAUAAAUAUAAUUUCCAACGAAUUUAACCAGUAUUAUCAUAGACUGUGGUUUACAGAAUGACAAAGUAACAGGAUUGUAUCUUUUUACUGUCAGACACUGACUAUGGAUAAGAUGUACCCAUUUAUUAAACUGAGAUCUAGUCAAAUCAAGUACAAUUGUAUUGAAAAUAUGAUUUUCUGAUAGCAUGAACUCUUUAAAAAUUUAUUCUCACCAACUUUAAAG